AGGCUCCGCUUCCGGUUCCAAAGGUCUGGAAACUGCUAAGGGUCCGGCGUUCACCGGCCGUGAGUUGCCCACCCUGGGAGGUGCAUGGCUUUGCCAUGUUUUGCCUUUUCUCACCCCGCUUCGGACAGGUGGGACUCGAAGACGGCGACUCGCCGCCUUGCCCUGGGUCGCGAUGCCCCCACCCCGCUCCCACCCCUCUCCUUUCCCGCAGCCUGAGCAAGACGCCUUCGGCAACGCCCCGCAUCCGGGCUCCUUGGCCUCGAAGAGCAUUAUGGCCGUAGAUCUGGGUGCUGAGGACUGAGCCACCCCCAGACUGCGACAUGGGCGGCGGUGCCUCCUUCCCCAAGCCCCAGGGAGUGUUUUUUUGUUUGUUUUGUUUUUUGUUUUUGUUUAAGUGAAUUCCUGGCCCAUUUGGCCGAACGAACGUUAGGAUUAGUUGGAAGGUUUGGAGAAAUGGAUGAGGAAACAAAUGUGUUAAAUUGUUAAAUUAACCUUGUGUGCCUGGCAGUGUACUUAAGUACUAAAUCUCACCUAGGCUGGGUCAUGACGAAAGCGGCUAUUGUGAUCCCGCUUUUGCAAGUGAAGCUGAGUGGUUCAUUGAUUAACCCCCAUCACAGCAAUGGUUUGGGCUAGGAUUUAAACCUUUGAUAAUUGAGCCCCCUAAAUCGAGGGCACUUUAUGAGCCAAUCACCAGUGCCAACCAUUCUGGUCAGUCAAAUAGUGACUAUAUCAGUGGCCCUACUGAGAAGACAUUAAAAAUGAGGAAAUAAGUGUCUCACAACUGCAAACUUACACAAGUACCUUAUAUUAGGAGAGAGGUGUAGAAGCCAAUUUAGUGAUGAUCCAAAUUUGACUGGUGAUGAAGUUUUAGUAUAAAGGUAUGCAUUUUUUUUCCUUUUGGAGACUUAAAUCUCCAUGGAUAACGUUCACAUCUUUGAAAAUCACCUAUUAAAAAUAAUCAUCAGUACCCAUCUCUAGUUACCGACAGGAAAAUCUUG
rnacentral:lncRNA from 1 species